rnacentral:rRNA from 1 species
GACGAACGCUGGCGGCGUGCCUAAUACAUGCAAGUCGAACGCAGUGGGGACGGGUGAGUAACACGUGGGUAACCUCCCAUCAGAGGGGAUAACACUUGGAAACAGGUGCUAAACCGAUACUGAGGGAUGAACCCGCGGUGCAUUAGCUAGUUGGAGAGGUAACGGCGCACCAAGGCCACGAGGCCUAGCCGACCUGGGAGGGUGAUCGGCCACUCUGGGACUGAUACACGGCCCAUACUCCUACGGGAGGCAGCAGUAGGGAAUCUUCGGCAAUGGACGAAAGUCUGACCGAGCAACGCCGCGUGAGUGAAGAAGGUUUUCGGAUCGUAAAACUCUGUUGUUAGAUAAGCGGUAUCUAACCAGAAAGCCACGGCGAACUACGUGCCAGCAGCCGCGGUAAUUC